AACGAACGCUGGCGGCAUGCCUAACACAUGCAAGUCGAACGAGACCUUCGGGUCUUGUGGCGCACGGGUGCGUAACGCGUGGGAACCUGCCCUUAGGUUCGGAAUACCUCCCCGACAGGGGUGCUAAUACCGGUUAAUGUCUUCGGACCAAAGAUUUAUCGCCUUUGGAUGGGCCCGCGUUGGAUUAGCUUGUUGGUAGGGUAAAAGCCUACCACGGCGUGGAUACAUAGCUGGUAUGAGAGGAUGCUAAGCCACACUGCGAGUGAGACACGGCCCAGACUACUACGGAAGGGAGGAGUGGGGAAUAUAGGAAAAUGGGGGAAAGGAUGAAGGAGCAAUGGCGCGAGAGUGAUGAAGGCGGGAGGGAAGAAAAGCAGGUUUACACGGGAUGAUAAUGACAGUACCGGGAGAAUAAGCACCGGCUAACUCCGUG
rnacentral:rRNA from 1 species